UGGGGAAUCUUGCGCAAUGGCCGAAAGGCUGACGCAGCGACGCCGCGUGUGGGAGGACGCUCUUCGGGGUGUAAACCACUGUUGCCCGGGACGAACAUGCUCUUUCGAGGGCACUGACGGUACCGGGUGAGGAAGCGCCGGCUAACUCUGUGCCAGCAGCCGCGGUAAUACAGAGGGCGCGAGCGUUGUCCGGAAUCACUGGGCGUAAAGGGCGCGUAGGUGGCGGCGCAAGCGGGCGGUGAAAGCCCGGGGCUCAACCCCGGGUCGGCCGUGCGAACUGCGUCGCUCGAGCGUGGUAGAGGCGGGUGGAAUUCCGGGUGUAGCGGUGGAAUGCGUAGAGAUCCGGAAGAACACCGGUGGCGAAGGCGGCCCGCUGGGCCACGGCUGACACUGAGGCGCGAAAGCGUGGGGAGCAAAC
rnacentral:rRNA from 1 species